AGGCAGANGGAACUGCUGGUGGAGGGGUGAAAUCCGUAGAUAUCAGCAGGAACGCCGGUGGAGAAGUCGGUCUGCUGGGCCGUNACCGAACGUUAAGGCGACGAAAGCUAGGGGAGCAAACCGGAUUAGAUACCCGGGUAGUCCUAGCCGUAAACGAUGCUCACUAGGUGUGGGGUCGAAAGGCUCUGUGCUGAAGCGAACGCGAUAAGUGAGCCGCCUGGGGAGUAUGCCCGCAAGGGUGAAACUCAAAA
rnacentral:rRNA from 1 species